rnacentral:rRNA from 1 species
UACGGAAGGUUCGGGCGUUAUCCGGAUUUAUUGGGUUUAAAGGGAGCGCAGGCGGUUUAUUAAGCGUGUUGUGAAAUGUAGAGGCUUAACCUCUGACGUGCAGCGCGAACUGGUAGACUUGAGUUCGUGCGAGGAUGGCGGAAUUCGUGGUGUAGCGGUGAAAUGCUUAGAUAUCACGAAGAACUCCGAUUGCGAAGGCAGCUGUCCGGUGCGUUACUGACGCUGAGGCUCGAAGGUGCGGGUAUCGAACAGG